UGCAGUCGAGCGGAACGAGUUAUCUGAACCUUCGGGGAACGAUAACGGCGUCGAGCGGCGGACGGGUGAGUAAUGCCUAGGAAAUUGCCCUGAUGUGGGGGAUAACCAUUGGAAACGAUGGCUAAUACCGCAUGAUGCCUACGGGCCAAAGAGGGGGACCUUCGGGCCUCUCGCGUCAGGAUAUGCCUAGGUGGGAUUAGCUAGUUGGUGAGGUAAGGGCUCACCAAGGCGACGAUCCCUAGCUGGUCUGAGAGGAUGAUCAGCCACACUGGAACUGAGACACGGUCCAGACUCCUACGGGAGGCAGCAGUGGGGAAUAUUGCACAAUGGGCGCAAGCCUGAUGCAGCCAUGCCGCGUGUGUGAAGAAGGCCUUCGGGUUGUAAAGCACUUUCAGUCGUGAGGAAGGUGGUGUAGUUAAUAGCUGCAUUAUUUGACGUUAGCGACAGAAGAAGCACCGGCUAACUCCGUGCCAGCAGCCGCGGUAAUACGGAGGGUGCGAGCGUUAAUCGGAAUUACUGGGCGUAAAGCGCAUGCAGGUGGUUUGUUAAGUCAGAUGUGAAAGCCCGGGGCUCAACCUCGGAAUAGCAUUUGAAACUGGCAGACUAGAGUACUGUAGAGGGGGGUAGAAUUUCAGGUGUAGCGGUGAAUGCGUAGAGAUCUGAAGGAAUACCGGUGGCGAAGGCGGCCCCCUGGACAGAUACUGACACUCAGAUGCGAAAGCGUGGGGAGCAAACAGGAUUAGAUACCCUGGUAGUCCACGCCGUAAACGAUGUCUACUUGGAGGUUGUGGCCUUGAGCCGUGGCUUUCGGAGCUAACGCGUUAAGUAGACCGCCUGGGGAGUACGGUCGCAAGAUUAAA
rnacentral:rRNA from 1 species